GUCUGUGGUAAUACCACCCUGAACGCGCUUGAUCUCGUCUGAUCUUGGAAGCUAAGCAGGGUCGGGCCUGGUUAGUACUUGGAUGGGAGAUUAACAUUUUAAUCAGUAGACUUUGAGCA
rnacentral:rRNA from 1 species